UACGAAGGGGGCUAGCGUUGCUCGGAAUCACUGGGCGUAAAGGGCGCGUAGGCGGCCAUUCAAGUCGGGGGUGAAAGCCUGUGGCUCAACCACAGAAUUGCCUUCGAUACUGUUUGGCUUGAGUUUGGUAGAGGUUGGUGGAACUGCGAGUGUAGAGGUGAAAUUCGUAGAUAUUCGCAAGAACACCAGUGGCGAAGGCGGCCAACUGGACCAACACUGACGCUGAGACGGCGAAAAGCGUGGGGAGCAAACACGG
rnacentral:rRNA from 1 species